GUGCACCAGGCGCGAAUCCUUCGCAAUGCAGGAAACUGCGACGAGGGAACUCCAAGUGCCUACGCUCAGCGUAGGCUGUUCUCAAGCCUAGAAAGCUUGAGGAGUAAGGGCUGGGUAAGACGGGUGCCAUCUGUGGUAGCAGUCAAUAGAUUCGAUUUGUUACUGCAAGGCAUAAGCCGCCGCGGUAAUACCCGCAGCCCAAGUGGUGGCUGCUUUUAUUGGGCCUAAAGCGUCCGUAGCCGGCCCGGUAAAUGCCUGGGUAAAAUCGUGGAGCCCAACUUCACGAAUUCCGGGUAGACUGCCGAGCUCGGGACCGGAAGAGGGAGAGGGUACUUCAGGGGUAGGGGUGAAAAUUUCCUUUCCAUUUAACGCUUUGCGCGAAGCGGAAAGGGGUUAUCACAAUCCUGUAAUCCCUGGAGGACCACCCGUGGCG
rnacentral:rRNA from 1 species